UGACACUUUAUCCGUUCGUGCUCAUUUCAGAUCGCCCACGAAGAACUAGCUCUUUCUCUCCUUCGAAUAAUUCAUCGUCGGCACUAAUUUUAUUUAUUGAAAACAGAAAUGGGCGUUCUGAAAGUCCAAAUGGCCCCCAGCUUUCUUAAAAUCACUCUUGGCCACAAUACCUUAUAUUUACCAAGCCAAAAAUUGCAAGUAAAUGGAUAUUGCAAACUGAUCGGCAAUCCAUUUGCUACAGAGUACCAACGACAGCAGCAAGAAAUUAUGACUGCUCUGGUUGAUAAGGUCGGGUCCGACAUUGUUAAUUUU